CGUUCUUUCUGACGUUCUACAUACCUUAAUUAACGCUCUUUCUGACAUUCUACAUACCUUACCGUCCGACUUCGGACAGAGACGUGAGGUGUCAUAAUAACGAACUCAGCGGUGCUCGGACCCCCCCUCCUGCCCGUUCUGCAUGGUCAUGACCAAUCACUACGCACCCUCCACAGCCCGACUCGUCCUAUUGGUCCUGCUCACUGUCACUCCACGGCUGACCGCCACCCCUGUGGGUGGGGAUGGGCAGGGGGAGGGGCACUCUAGGACUCACCUUAAAGAGGACAGCCCCAGCCCCCUCCGCUACCCCUUGGACCAGACCCAGGACCAGAUAGAGGACCAGGUACAGAGCCAGGAACAGAGCUAUGGUGGUCCCACAAACAUGGACCCUGCCCGGGCUCUAGCCGCUAUGCUACUGGAGGCCCUGGACCACACUGGGAGAGGACAGACAAAGGAGAGAGGAGAGGGGGACCCAGUCCCUUUGGAGGAGAGGAGGGAUGAGGAGACAAGGAGAGAGGUUGGGAGAGAGGAGGAGGAGGAGGAGGAGGAGAGGAGGGAUGAAGAG
rnacentral:lncRNA from 1 species